AUUUAUAUAGUAUAAAAAUUAUACUUGAUUUCCAAUCAAAAGAUCUAUGUAAAAUUAGUAUAAAUA
rnacentral:tRNA from 1 species